GGCAGCAGUGGGGAAUCUUCGGCAAUGGAGGGAACUCUGACCGAGCAAUGCCGCGUGAAUGAAGAAGUACUUCGGUAUGUAAAGUUCUUUUAUUGGGGAAGAACGGCUAGUGGAAAAGCUAGAGUGACGGUACCCAUUGAAUAAGCCCCGGCUAACUAUGUGCCAGCAGCCGCGGUAAUACAUAGGGGGCAAGCGUUAUCCGGAAUUAUUGGGCAUAAAGGGUGCGUAGGCGGCAAGUUAAGUUUAAGGUAUAAGCUCAUGGCUCAACCAUGGGAGGCUUAGAAACUGGCUAGCUAGAGUGCAGUAGAGGCAAGUGGAAUUCCAUGUGUAGCGGUAAAAUGCGUAAAUAUAUGGAGGAACACCAGUAGCGAAGGCGGCUUGCUGGGCUGUAACUGACGCUGAGGCGCGAAAGCGUGGGGAGCAAACAGGAUUAGAUACCCUGGUAGUCCACGCCGUAAACGAUGAGUGCUAAGUGU
rnacentral:rRNA from 1 species